rnacentral:rRNA from 1 species
UGGGUCCUACGGGAGGCAGCAGUGGGGAAUAUUGCACAAUGGGGGAAACCCUGAUGCAGCAACGCCGCGUGGGUGAAGAAGUAUUUCGGUAUGUAAAGCCCUAUCAGCAGGGAAGAGAAUGACGGUACCUGACUAAGAAGCCCCGGCUGACUACGUGCCAGCAGCCGCGGUAAUACGUAGGGGGCAAGCGUUAUCCGGAUUUACUGGGUGUAAAGGGAGCGUAGACGGAAAGGCAAGUCAGAAGUGAAAACCCAAGGCUCAACCAUGGGACUGCUUUUGAAACUGUCAAACUAGAGUACGGGAGG